rnacentral:tRNA from 1 species
GCUUCCGUAGUGUAGUGGUUAUCACAUGCGCUUUACACGCGCAAGGUCCCCGGUUCGAUCCCGGGCGGAGGCA